rnacentral:rRNA from 1 species
AUUGAACGCUGGCGGAAUGCUUUACACAUGCAAGUCGAACGGCAGCACGGACUUCGGUCUGGUGGCGAGUGGCGAACGGGUGAGUAAUACAUCGGAACGUGCCCAGUCGUGGGGGAUAACGUAGCGAAAGCUACGCUAAUACCGCAUACGAUCUACGGAUGAAAGCGGGGGAUCGCAAGACCUCGCGCGAUUGGAGCGGCCGAUGUUAGAUUAGGUAGUUGGUGGGGUAAAGGCUCACCAAGCCGACGAUCUAUAGCUGGUCUGAGAGGAUGAUCAGCCACACUGGGACUGAGACACGGCCCAGACUCCUACGGGAGGCAGCAGUGGGGAAUUUUGGACAAUGGGCGCAAGCCUGAUCCAGCCAUUCCGCGUGCAGGACGAAGGCCUUCGGGUUGUAAACUGCUUUUGUACAGAACGAAAAGGCUUCUCCUAAUACGAGGGGCUCAUGACGGUACUGUAAGAAUAAGCACCGGCUAACUACGUG